rnacentral:rRNA from 1 species
GACGAACGCUGGCGGCGUGCCCAAUACAUGCAAGUCGAGCGGGCCUCCGGAGGUGCUUGCACCUCCGGAAGGCCAGCGGCGGACGGGUGAGUAACACGUGGGCAACCUGCCUUUGAGGCCGGGAUAACACCGGGAAACCGGUGCUAAUACCGGAUGCGUCCCCUUUCGCGCCUGCGAGAGGGGUGAAAGACGGUCUUUAAGGCCGUCGCUCAAAGAGGGGCCCGCGGCGCAUUAGCUGGUUGGUGGGGUAAGGGCCUACCAAGGCGACGAUGCGUUGCCGACCUGAGAGGGUGAUCGGCCACACUGGGACUGAGACACGGCCCAGACUCCUGCGGGAGGCAGCAGUAGGGAAUCAUCCGCAAUGGGCGAAAGCCUGACGGUGCAACGCCGCGUGAGUGAGGAAGGUUUUCGGAUCGUAAAGCUCUGUUGUGAGGGAAGAGCAGCUUCCGGAGGAAAUGCCGGAGGUUUGCCGGUACCUCACCAGAAAGCCCCGGCUAACUACGUGCCAGCCGCCGCCGUAA